rnacentral:tRNA from 1 species
GGGGGUGUAGUUUAGUGGUAGAACAGCGGUCUCCAAAACCGCGAACAUAGGUCCGAUUCCUUUCACCCCCG